rnacentral:lncRNA from 1 species
GGCGGUGGUCGAGGCGCGCGGCGGCGGCGUGCAGGGCGUCGAGGCGGCGGUGCAGCGCGGCGGUGCGGCGGCCCAGGGCGGCCGCCUGGCCCUCGAGCUCGCCGAAGAUGUCCCCGGCGCAGCGCGACAGUGAUUGUCCGGUGUGACCCAGCUCAAAGCCAACGAAUUUGAAGAGGAAGCGGAAGGCCUCAAGAGAUAAGAUGAGAGGAGAAAGGGAACAGCUCUCAUCCUCACCUCAGAUCAGACCCCUGCCCCCCUGCCUCUGGACGCACUCAGGUGCUGAUAGAAUGUCUGGAACUGCAGCAGGAUCUUGAGACCAGGAGAAGCAGCCCAGAAGAAUGAAAGCCAUACACAAAUACUGAACUUACCCCAUAAGGAUGACUCCACGUGCACGUAAGGGGUAAAUCCUUGUGGUCUGAGGACCAAGAAAAUUAGCAUCACUUGGAUCUUGUUAGAAAUACGAAAUCUCAGGCCCCACUCCAGACUGGCUGAACACCCAGUUUAGCAAGCUCCCCAGAUGAUUCAGUUGUGUUUUACAGUUUGAGAAGCUCUAGCUCAAACUCCUGUUGGUUGGAUUUUUCUGAUACUUCAGUUGAAUAUUUUGGAACUUGUGAGCGGAAAAAAGUAGUGAGUGAUCAAAGGAUUGAAGAUUCUGAAGAGAAUUAAGUGAAUAUGGAAGGAUGAGACCAAGAAUGCAAAUAAAGUUGCCAGAUGGCCUGGGUCUCCAUGAGGAGAGAGCAGAAAUCACCCAUUCAGAGUAAAUAUAAGAAAGAGGAAAUGGUGGGGAGUUUCUUAGCAACUCAGGUGGGGAAUAUCAGAAAUCCUGCAUGACAGCUCAUCAGGGGAGUUGGACAGCUUGAAUAAGAGGUCCAUGGAUCUAACUUUUCCUGCACUCUAAAAGCCCCAGAACUGAGAGAGCAGACAGCUUCAAAUUAACCCAGUGGGAACUUAGGGGGACCAAGGUCACAAUUAAGGUCAUCACUGAAAGGCUGACCAUGGAGCACGUGGUGGAUUAAAGACUGUGGUGGACAAACACAAGUAAACCACUUGAGUUCAGUGGGGAGAGUUUCAAGCAUGCAGUCCUGGGAAGGAAGGCCUAAGAGAAUGUUCAGUAGUGGCAGUAGAGGAAUAUCAGGAAAAAAAAAAAAAAAAAAAAAAAUAUAUAUAUAUAUAUAUACACACACACACAUAGGCAAGAAUGUGGUGAUUAGAGAAGGGGGCACCAAAUGUGAAAUCUCAGCGAUAGAACAAUGACUUAGGGUUAUGUAAAUUGAAAAAAAAAAGAAAUAUUCUUAAUGAUAAAGGAAAGCAAACUGCAUCAACCAGAGGAUGUACAGUUGAUGGGGUUUGGGGGUUUAUUUGUUUGUUUUUGCUUUUUAGGGCCACACUUAAGGCAUAUGGAAGUUCCCAGGCUAGGGGUGGAAUCGGAACUGCAGCUGCCUGCCUAUACCCUAGCCACAGCAAUGCAGGAUCCAAGCUGCAUCUGCGACCUACACCACAGCAACAUCAGAUCGUUAAUGCACGAAGCGAGGCCAGGGAUUAAACCUGCAUCUUCACCAGUACUAGUCAGGUUCAUUAUCACUGAGCCACAAUGGGAACUCUGAUGUAUUCUUGAUAAUUGUCCAAAAAGUAAAGACAAAAAUCUACCUUUAAUGGAAAAAAAAAUUCACCCCACUUGAAACAAAAGAUUUUUAUAAUGCUCAAUACAUAUUUUUUUUUCUUAUAGUACUUAGUAAAUCUUAUCAAAAGUGACUCGAACUUGAAAUGAUAAUGGAUAUGGGCCUUCACCUCAAGGCUUAUGAUAAAAAUUGGUAUUAACAAAUUAGUCUCCUCAAGCUGCCAUAACAAAUUACAAUGGAUAGCUUAAAACAACAGACAUUUACUGUCUCACAGUUCUGGCAAAUAUGAAACCAAGGUGUCAGCAGGGCCCUGCUCCCUCUGAAAACUGUCAAAAAGAAUCCCGUCUUGCCUCUUCUAGUUUCUGGUAUUUGCCAACACUCUUUGGUGUUCCUUGACUUAGGGGUGGAGGCACAUUCCACUCUCUGCCUCCAGUGUCACAUGGCCAUACUCUCCCAUGUGUCAUCCCUGUCUCUGCGUCUGCCCUCUCCUUACAAGGACAGUCAUAUUGAAUUAAGCCCCCUGGUCCCCACUCCAGUAAGGCCUCAUCUUGACUUAUUACAUCUGCCAAGAUCCUACUUCCAAGUAAGGUCACAUUCUGAGCUACUGAGGGAUAGGACUUCAACAAACCUUUUUAAAGGACACAAUUCAACCGAUAAUACCGUGAGGUGACAAAAAUAACUUGGUUUUGGUUUAAACAUUUAGAUCAAACCACCUUAAUACCUAAAUUACUAAAGGCAAAAAGCAAUGGCAUAUUAAACUCCCAAGUCCUGGUUCAGAACCUUUCUGGGUAAGGCAGGUGUUGUUGGGAAAGGGUAACAGGAUAGAAACAGUAGGUGAGGCUGGCUGGUGUUCUGGACACCGGUCACAGCACCCUUGUUGGUUAUUCCUGUGUGGCCAUCACCCCCCUCCUCCAUUCAUAAAUUCAGCAAAGGGAGUUCCCAUUGUGGCUUUAGUGGGUUACGGACCCAACAUAGUCUCCUGAAGAUGUGGGUUCGAUCCCUUGCCUCGCUCAGUGGGUUAAGGAUCUGACAUUGCCGCAAGCUGCAGAUGUGGCUCAGAUCCAGUGUUGCCAUGGCUGUGGCAUAGGCUCCCACUGCAGCUUGAUUCAACCCCUAGCCUGGGAACUUCCAUAUGCCACAUGUGUGGCCAUAAAAAGGAAAAAAAAAAAAAAA